rnacentral:tRNA from 1 species
AAAAAUUUAGUUAAUUAAUAACAUCAAUUUGUCAAGUUGAAGUAAACACUAGUGUUAAUUUUUG